UUAAGAAAGUUCACCUCUUCUAUCUCUGGACAGAAGACGCUGAAUUUGAUAUUAGUUGAUGACAAGGUAAUGUAAAUCUUAUAUAUCUCAUGCUUUU
rnacentral:sRNA from 1 species